rnacentral:lncRNA from 1 species
AGGGAACUAGGUGACUGUAGUAUUUGGUGCACAGUAGGGCGAUGAAGGCAAAGGAAAAGUAGUGGAUCUGCUGACCCAGGAUGCCAACAUUGUGUGCCACUGCCAGGGAGGGAAUAAUGCUGGCCAUACAGUUGUUGUAGAUUCUGUGAAAUGUGAUUUUCAUCUUUUACCCAGUGGGAUAAUUAAUCCAAAUGUUACUGCAUGCUUUGUAAAUGCUGUGGUAAUUCAUCUACCUGGAUUGUUUGAAGAAGCAUAGAAAAAAUGUUCAAAAAGGAAGAGGUCUAGAAGGCUGAGGAAAGAGGCUUAUCAUAUCUGACAGAGCUCGUAUUGUAUUUGAUUUUCAUCAAGCAGCUGAUAGGAUCCAGGAACAAUAGAAAAAAGAACAAGCAGGAAAAAAUUUGGGUGCCACAAAAAAAAGGGCAUUGGCCCAGUUUAUUCUUCCAAAGCUGCUCAGAGUGGACUGCAGAUGUGGGAUCCUGUUUCUGACUUUGAAGGCUUCUCUGGGAGCUUCAAAGUUCUAGCUAACCAGUACAAAUCUAUCUACCGUACUUUGGAAAUAGCCAUUGAAGGUGAAUUACAAAAACUCAAGGGUUAUAUGGAAAGGAUUAAACCAAUGCUGAAAGAUGGAGUUUAUUCCCUAUAGGAGGUCCUACAUGGACCACCAAAGAAAAUCUUGGUAGAGGUGCAAAUACAACAUUGUAAGAUAUUGAUUUUGGGACUUACCCUUUUGAAACUUCUUCAAACUGUACUGUUGGAGGUGUCUGUACAGGUUUGUUUAUGCUGCCUCACAAUGUUGGUGAAGUGUAUGGAAUUGUGAAAGCUUCUACCACUAGAGUUGGUAUCGGUGCCUUUUGUACACAGAAAGACAAUGAAAUUGGAGAAUUAUUACAACAGAGGGUAGG